UGCUAAGGCCGAUGGCGACCGGCGCACGGGUGAGUAACACGUAUCCAACCUGCCGUCUAUUCUUGGACAGCCUUCUGAAAGGAAGAUUAAUACAAGAUGGCAUCAUGAGUCCGCAUGUUCACAUGAUUAAAGGUAUUCCGGUAGACGAUGGGGAUGCGUUCCAUUAGAUAGUAGGCGGGGUAACGGCCCACCUAGUCUUCGAUGGAUAGGGGUUCUGAGAGGAAGGUCCCCCACAUUGGAACUGAGACACGGUCCAAACUCCUACGGGAGGCAGCAGUGAGGAAUAUUGGUCAAUGGGCGAGAGCCUGAACCAGCCAAGUAGCGUGAAGGAUGACUGCCCUAUGGGUUGUAAACUUCUUUUAUAAAGGAAUAAAGUCGGGUAUGCAUACCCGUUUGCAUGUACUUUAUGAAUAAGGAUCGGCUAACUCCGUGCCAGCAGCCGCGGUAAUACGGAGGAUCCGAGCGUUAUCCGGAUUUAUUGGGUUUAAAGGGAGCGUAGAUGGAUGUUUAAGUCAGUUGUGAAAGUUUGCGGCUCAACCGUAAAAUUGCAGUUGAUACUGGAUAUCUUGAGUGCAGUUGAGGCAGGCGGAAUUCGUGGUGUAGCGGUGAAAUGCUUAGAUAUCACGAAGAACUCCGAUUGCGAAGGCAGCCUGCUAAGCUG
rnacentral:rRNA from 1 species